CGGGAAAAGCUCAAAUUUAAAAUCUGGCAGCUUCGCUGUCCGAGUUGUAAUUUAGAGAAGUGUUACCCGUGCUGGACCGUGUACAAGUUCCCUGGAAUGGGACGUCAUAGAGGGUGAGAAUCCCGUCUCUGACACGGACUACCAGUGCUUUGUGGUGCGCUCUCAAA
rnacentral:rRNA from 1 species